CUACGGGGGGCUGCAGUGGGGAAUAUUGGACAAUGGGGGAAACCCUGAUCCAGCAAUGCCGCGUGUGUGAAGAAGGCCUGCGGGUUGUAAAGCACUUUCGGUUGGGAGGACUGCUUCUAGCACUAAUAUUGUUGGAAGUUGACGUUACCUUCAGAAGAAGCACCGGCUAACUCCGUGCCAGCAGCCGCGGUAAUACGGAGGGGACUAGCGUUGUUCGGAAUUACUGGGCGUAAAGAGUUCGUAGGCGGACUGACAAGUUAGAGGUGAAAUCCCAGGGCUCAACCCUGGAACUGCCUUUAAAACUGUCAGUCUAGAGACCGGAAGAGGUUAGGGGAAUACCUAGUGUAGAGGUGAAAUUCGUAGAUAUUAGGUGGAACACCAGUGGCGAAGGCAGCUCUCUGGCCUGAUACUGACGCUGAGGUGCGAAAGUGUGGGGAGCAAACAGGAUUAGAUACCCCCGUAGUC
rnacentral:rRNA from 1 species